CUCGAAACUGCCAGGCUCGAGUACGGGAGAGGGUGGUGGAAUUCCCAGUGUAGAGGUGAAAUUCGUAGAUAUUGGGAGGAACACCGGUGGCGAAAGCGACCACCUGGACCGAUACUGACGCUGAGACGCGAAAGCGUGGGGAGCAAACAGGAUUAGAUACCCUGGUAGUCCACGCUGUAAACGAUGGGUACUAGGUGUUGCGGGUAUUGACCCCUGCAGUGCCGAAGUUAACACAUNAAGUACCCCGCCUGGGGAGUCGA
rnacentral:rRNA from 1 species